rnacentral:lncRNA from 1 species
GCCGCACAGCCCAGCUGGAAUCCGGGACUGUGGAGCUGUGGAGGAGGCAGGAGCUCCACCAGUCUUGGGAGUCCAAUGGCCUCAUUGACGUUUAUUCUCCUUGCAAAUGCCAGCCUUUCAGUUUUAUGUUCUGCAACAAGUUUGGCCAUGUUCGAGGACCAUCCAAAGGUCAGCGAGUUGGCUUCUAGUGAUUGGAUGCUCACUCUGAAGCCAAAGUCUAUUACUGUGCCUGUGGAAAUCCCCGGCUCACCUCCGGAUGAAUCCUCCAUCCACUUUCUGAAAAUCGUGGGCUUCGUAGGAACAGAUCACCCCUCGCCCUGCUAUCCUGUGAACAGCAGCACUGGCAUGUGUAAGAAACAGCUGGCACAACCUGCACAUACAACGGAAACCCACAGGCUUUGAGCUGUUGAACUUGGCUUCAUUUCUUCAGGUAAAUCCAGUAAUCUUUAUAUCCUUAUCCUUCCCCCCACCGUUCCAUAGUAUAAAAUUGUUU